rnacentral:rRNA from 1 species
UACGAAGGGGGCUAGCGUUGCUCGGAAUCACUGGGCGUAAAGCGCACGUAGGCGGAUUGCUAAGUCAGGGGUGAAAUCCUGGAGCUCAACUCCAGAACUGCCUUUGAUACUGAAGAUCUCGAGUCCGGGAGAGGUGAGUGGAACUGCGAGUGUAGAGGUGAAAAUUCGUAGAUAUUCGCAAGAACACCAGUGGCGAAGGCGGCUCACUGGCCCGGUACUGACGCUGAGGCACGAAAGCGUGGGGGAGCGAACAGGG